CGCUGUUACAAUUUUUAAGAGUGUCAAUGGAAGCAGAGUGCGCGUAUCGAUGCGUCUUAACCAACACGCAGCUAGUGAAGCGAACAACAGCUGGCCACAAUACGUCUGAGUUGUAAAGCAGGGACAGCUAAGUAAAAGGCUAGUAGGAGUUGGCAGGCGAUAGGUUUUUCUUUCUGACGGAGCGAGUAUGGCAGAUCAUGGUUGUAUCUUCUCUCUCUCUCACACACACACACACACAGUCAUGUUGUAAUAUCACACACAAAGCACCUUCUGCUGGUUUGCCAUUUUUUUAGGAAGUCAUACAAUUCUCAAACAUCACACAAGAUAACAUCUUUAAAUAAUUUAUUCAUUUCUACAACAGACCAUAUGCAGUGAUUCAUCUCUUUAAAGUAUUAAAAUCAACAGAAAUACACAGUCUCCUUAAGAUAUUUUUUCACAGGCUAUUGGAAAAAAAAGUGAAGGUGGCUCCAGUGUUCUGGUGAGGAUCCAGACUGAUGAAACUAAAGGGGAAUCACAUCAUUCAUGGUCUGUUCUUCUUCUACUACCACCUCCAGAGAAUCACUGGAUGAAUUUCAGUUGUGUCACCAAACUGUAUUUUUCUGGAAAGGGGAAAGAGGUAUUCUUUUAAAGCCAAGACCCAACAUGCUAAUGGUAAAGAUAGUCGUCAUUAUGGGGCAUAUAAAGUACUUGGCAGAGCUGAGGUUUAACGAUAGUAAAUCCCAGCUUUUUAACUGAGUUGUGGAUUCUACAAGUGGAAGAAAAAUCGUCAUGAAGAGAAGCAAGUUAAAUCAGUUGAACAUGACCUUUGUCGAGACCUCCACACCCACCCACCCCCCAAAAAAAAAACCACAAAAGAUUUCUGGGUAAUCGUAUUACCACCCCCUGCAGGGGUCGUCAGUCAGUCUUUUGCUCAUCCAAAGCCUAAAGGACGAGAUGAAAAGAACAAGCCCUCUGUCCGGUUUGAAUAACUGCCUUUAACUUCAUUAGUAGUGAAAAAAGAUAGAUUUAACAUCCUCCAUGUGUUUCCUCACCACAAAAAUCCGUUGUGACUUUGAAGAGACUGUCAAUCAUCUGAUUUAAAAAAAAAAGAUUCAUUUAAUCCACUUCAGGGAAGCCUCUCAUUGGAAUUUAAACAGCUACAGGCGACUCAUUUAUUGUGUGAAUACAUUAACAUGAUCAAAAGGAAGCCAGUCACAUUGCUUUUAAGGUUGGAAAGUAUUUAGCAUACAAAUCACUGAUAUUUUACUUUUAUGUACUGUAGGACUCAUUGCAUAU